AUGAAGGAGAGCAGUGAAUAAACAAUUUAACUCAUGUCACCUUCAUCAGCUGCUCUGCAUUAAGUUGCAAGUUAAGAUCAGCAGUGAGACUAUUUGUAGAUGAAACUAGCCAACUGCCUUAUUAGUACUAGUUUCGUUUUGGUGGCUUUCUUGAUGUGGGCGUAUUUAUUAGGAUUAAAAACCCAAACUUUUUAUCCUAAUAAAAGGAGUUAAAAAGGAAGGCUGGAUCACUAAAGGCUUCAAUGGUGCACUAAAGGGACCAUUCUUUGAAGGCCCCUCACUAAAUGAAAUCCAGUGGUUUCCAAAGAUGGACAAAGAUUGAAGAUCCAAUAGUCUGUUUUAAGGACUUAGAGACCACUGUGUGGCAUUCAAGGAUUUUGUCUUGAUGAUGAUGACUGAUCAAAUGAUUGAAAAUGGGAAGAAACUGUUUUGUUUUCAGAGCCAUCUCAAUCACAUUGACAGAACAGACAGAAGUACAACUAUUGAUGGUCCAGAAGUGCUAUAAUUACCCUUUUCCUCUAAUUCAAACCACACUGUGCUGUGAAAAAAAAGGAAAGCCAACCUGCGAUUAUUAGUUCCUAUGAUUUCAAUGGAGUUAAGUGACUAGUACAGCUAGAUUCUAUUCCACCUCCCAUAAGAAGUCCCUUAAUGUUAUUCUAUUCCACCCUGUUCAAGUCCUGAAAGUUUAUUAAUGCAUCUACUUUUGUAACAUUCCAUCACCUGCCCCUUAAGAUUCAGUGAAAAAAAAAGCAGUAAGGAUAAGGAAGGACCCACUUACCUUUUUCAUUUACUGUUUUCCAUGGAUUCAAGCAGGUAGACACCUAAGUCUACUUACAUGCUAAUAGUUAGGCUAGAAUCUCAUCCUAAGUGAUUUUGAAAAUGCCUCUAGUAGUCAGCUGUAUCUUUAGACUCCUAAAUACUUUUUAAAAAACCUGACCCUUUUGGCCAACUCCUUUUGUUUUCCUCAACCCUUAAGCAAAAAUUGGAUUCACCUCAAUGCUUAAUGUCUUGGUUUCAAUAGUUUAGCCUAAUUACUCUGUAAAAACUGAGUUGAGUUAAGAUUUCAGAGCUUGCACACAGAGCAGAAGUGUUCCUUGAAUAAGAUUUCUUCUUUUAUUUGGGAUGGGAUACAAUAAUCUGUAUAAAAAUACUGGCUUCAGUACUAGCUGUGGUUUUGGCUUCUUCGGUGCCAGAUAAUCUAUCACAGAUCCAACUCAGUAUUACAUUGGUAAAGGUGAAAGGAAAGGACAAGUGGACAGUAUACACAAUUCUAAGCAGAGAGAAAGGGAAAUUAAAAAUCCCACCAUUCCUCUAUGGAUAAACCUACAUCUUUCACCAAAAUAGUAGCAGCAAGCAGUCAGGCACUGCAAAUAUUAGUACAAACAAAGGAACUAGCACUGACACUAAUUAUGAAUUUAAAAUGCAACCACACUGAGCAACAGCUAUUGAGCACCAGAGCCCGAUAUAAGGCAUCAUUCUUUAGCACUGUUAUUUGUUUGAGGAUUUUUGUUUUCCUCAACAUUUUUGCCAAUAAAUGCAUUUUCUCCAACACAGAGACUUUCCUGCUGUGAUUUGCAAGCAACCUCAGAGUCAACAUGGGAAACCUUCAUGGGACAAUAAACUUACACAGAAACCCAUCCUGAUUGGGACCUCAGCAUAGGCCUCUUGCUUCAGACAUAUACCAGCUCCAGAGAUCAGGAAAUCAGUAAAUGAUGCAAGCAUUUGCACUGUGUCUUUGACUAAGCUAAUAGGUCAGAUGGUGAGUUUGGGAGAGCUGUAUUAUAAUCAGUCUUUGUCUUAUACAUCUGGAAUUCCUUAUUCACACCACUCAGGAGAUACUGCAUGCCAACCACCUACAGUGAGAUCCACACUGUGCCUUCUUUGGGAUGCACAGUGCAAGCAACAUCAUGAAGAAGCACAAAUACUGUAGGUUCUCCGCUUGUGAACCUGGAUCAGGAAGACUUCUUUUCUUUCAUCCUUCAUCAGCCUUUUUUACUGGACUGUUAACCUUUACUGACAAGAACUGUCUCUUGAACUGUCUGUACUAACCUGUGGUAUCUUGAUGAGGCUUGUGGUACAUAGGCAAUUCUUUCUUAUAUACAGGAAAUUAUAUGCACAACUCUUUACUGUAUGAUGUAGCAGUUAUAGCUACUGCUUUUGCAAGGAUCUUGUGGCUGGCUUGUUCCUGUUCUGCAACAUGGAAGUUCCUGCUGGACUCACCUAGACUGUCUCCUCAGAUGCCACACUUCCUGGACACUCUGUGUUUCCAGAAGGACUUACUGUCUAUCAUAGUAGUGCCUAGCAUAAUGGGUCUUUGGUUUUGGUUGAGCCAGAAGACAUUGUCAUAUUAUGAAAAAUAAAGAACAAUAAAAUUAAAGUGACACCAA